rnacentral:misc_RNA from 1 species
GAUGAAGAACGUAGCGAAAUGCGAUAAGUAAUGUGAAUUGCAGAAUUCAGUGAAUCAUCGAAUCUUUGAACGCACAUUGCGCCCCUUGGUAUUCCGAGGGGCAUGCCCGUUCGAGCGUCAUUAUACCCCUCAAGCCUAGCUUGGUGUUGGGGCCUGCUGUUACCGGCAGCCCUUAAAAUCAGUGGCGGUGCCAUCUGGCUCUAAGCGUAGUAAUACUUCUCGCUACAGGGUCCCUGUGGAUGCUUGCCAUCAACCCCUAAUUUUCUAUGGUUGACCUCGGAUCGGGUAGGGAUACCCGCUGAACUUAAGCAUAUCAAUAAGCGGAGGA